rnacentral:rRNA from 1 species
AGCGAACGCUGGCGGCAGGCCUAACACAUGCAAGUCGAACGAACCUUUCGGGGUUAGUGGCGGACGGGUGAGUAACACGUGGGAACGUGCCUUUAGGUUCGGAAUAACUCAGGGAAACUUGUGCUAAUACCGAAUGUGCCCUUCGGGGGAAAGAUUAAUCGCCUUUAGAGCGGCCCGCGUCUGAUUAGCUAGUUGGUUGAGGUAAUGGCUCACCAAGGCGACGAUCAGUAGCUGGUCUGAGAGGAUGAUCAGCCACAUUGGGACUGAGACACGGCCCAAACUCCUACGGGAGGCAGCAGUGGGGAAUCUUGCGCAAUGGGCGAAAGCCUGACGCAGCCAUGCCGCGUGAAUGAUGAAGGUCUUAGGAUUGUAAAAUUCUUUCACCGGGGACGAUAAUGACGGUACCCGGAGAAGAAACCCCGGCUAACUUCGUG